AUGAAGCCACUCCUCCUUUCUACACCUACUUAAAUGUGACAGAAAGCAGCAGAGAGCCUGUCAUCACUCAACUCACACUGCAUUUCAUCUCUGACUUUACAGUAACCCAGUGCUCCAUGUCAGUGCUCUGCAUGAUGAUUAGACUCCUCUUUUGUCAUUUCCUUACAGCAGGUUUUUCUCUGGGAGUUCAGGUCCAUCAGUCUCCCUCUGCUGUCAUCAGAAAGGCUGAUGGUGAAGUACAGCUUUUCUGCACACAUGGACAAAGUGACUACAGAGUGAUGCUGUGGUACCAGCAGCCACCUGGAGACACAGCUCUGAAACUUGUUGGAUAUGGAUAUGGAGAGUUCAGAAAUGACAGCGUGGAAGAGCCGUUUAAAAAACACUUCAGACUGACUGGAGAUCUGGGUGGACACAAAACAAAAAAUGGUGCACUUUCCAUAACCAAUCUAAAA